GGCACAAGGGUACUCUGUCGGUUCAUCACUUGUAGAGGAAGACAAGCUUGAUCUCGCAACAGCACUUCUCGAGAAAGCGAAGGCUAAAGGCGUACGACUAAUGUUGCCUACCGAUGUGGUUGCUGCUAACAAGUUUGCAGCAGAUGCGGAGAGCAAGGUUGUCCCCGCGACUGCCAUCCCAGAUGGUUGGAUGGGGCUUGAUAUCGGACCAGA
rnacentral:misc_RNA from 1 species